rnacentral:tRNA from 1 species
GCACUCGUAGCUCAGUAGGAUAGAGCGUCCCCCUCCUAAGGGGAAGGCCGGGGGUUCGAUUCCUCUCGAGUGCG